AUUUUGUAUGGGAAGUUGAAACCCAUCUUCUGUUGCUUUUUGUGCAGGUGCUUCUAGAGAGAGAGGAGGAGCAGAUUGCUUCAUCAGAGAUGCCAUGGCAGACUCAGGGAAAGCUGUUCCCAGCCCAAGAGCAGGAAGAGCAGCUCGGGCAGCAGGUGGAAGAACCACAGGAGAAAGGCCAGAAGAUCAAGGAAGAGCCACAAGCAGAGCUGCCCGAAGCUCAGAGUGCCAUCAUGGAUGUGAAGAGAAAGAACAAGGAAGACAUGGGAAGAAUUCAAGAGGAGAAUCUCCAUCAGCAGAGGGGCGAUCAACAAAACCAGGUGAGUGAAAGAGUGGCAGGCGCUCCACUCAUGAAACAUCCUCUCGCUUGCUUUUUAGAGAAGAUGAAGGCACAGCUGAACACAGAGCUUCAGACAGCUGACACUAGGAUCAAGACAAGGCAGAAGAGGCUGGAGGAUGAAAUGAAAAUCAUCAGGGAGAAACUUAAUUGUUUCCCUCAUUCUCUACAAAAGCAAGUGAGUGAAAGAGGGAUGCAGUCACUGCAGUCACCAAACUGGUGGUUUCUGCCCUUCUUGCCUUUCCAGUGCAGAGCAGCAGGGAGUGGGGCCAUGCCUCUGAGUGCCAUCCCGCUCUAGUGUGUAUCACAGUCACUCUGAAGGACUUUU
rnacentral:lncRNA from 1 species